CUGGGGACGCCGCGACAGCAGCGCCGGCGACUCGGGAAGACUUGCGGCGUCCGGCGCGCACCGCGCAUGCGCCCCGACCCCGCCCGGGUCCCCAUCAGACGUCGUCGUCAUGGAAACCCCGGGACUGCGCGAACAGCUAGCUUAAAGGGACCGAGGUGGCUCCUGGGCUCCGUGUGCCCAGCCCCGGGCGGGAUCUGCGCCUAGAGCACCGUCAGGCCCACAGGCCACGGAGUGGGGAGGGCUUCUUGGAGGAGGCGGCUCCUGGAUAACACCUCCAGAGCCACUGCCGGCCGGAAUUAAGCCAAGGAAGCGCGAAAUCUGCCGCGGGAGCUCGGCGGUCCCGGGGCUUGGGGUGUCCCUGGGCCGAUCCUGAGGGAGGGGCUCGAGGCACGCCAGGAUUGGGGGCCAGUGAAUGCAAAGGCGCGGCCUCUGCUCCCGGGCCAGUGGGGUCCAGUCGGGUCGGAUUGCUCCGGGGAUAUCGGGGCCAGGAGCGACCCAGGCCCGUGGGCCGGUGGGGGAUCCGCUCUCUCCGCUCCUGACUCGGGCCCAGCCUUGCCCCUGCGCCUCAGGGGAGAGGGACAGAGCUCUCGGGUGUGGGGGGCAGUUUUGCCCUCAGGGAUACUUGGCAAUAUCUGGAGGCAUUUUGGACGGUCGCAGCUGGGAGGAGAGGUGCUACUGAACCCACUGGGUAGACGUCAAGGGUGCGGCUAAGCAUCCUGCAAAGCAGGACGACCCCACAAAGGAUGAUCCGGCCCAAACUGUGGACAGAGCAGCAGUUGAGGAGCCCCGGUCUGUAUCUUCUCGCCAGAAGGCCAGGCCCUCCCUACCGGGUGCUCAGAAGAUGCGCAGGAAGCGUGACUGCGUGAGCGCGGGCCCAGGUUCAUUCAGGUGUGAUUGACAUGCAAUACACAAUUUGAUCGAUUUUGAUGUAUACAUGUGAAAAUUAAUAAAGGGAAACCUCACUGAAAUGGAGUCAGGAGGCCAGAAGGGGGAGCUCUCAUGCAGUACCACUCAAAGUUGGUCACAGGAAGAAUCAUCAAUUACAGGUCCCCACAGGAAAAGAUGUACAGGGCAUCUCCCACAAGAAAUCCACUUCCCCAGAAACUCAGCCAGAAUCCAUCACCACUCUGAACUCUCACUUUUCUCCAAUGGACUUUGGUUCAAAACAACUGCCAACAUCCUCCUUUUUCUCUAUAAAAUAACGUUCCUCUCCUUUGUUAGACUUGCCUUUGGCCUUUGUAUAGCAUGCUUGUCCCAAGUCGCAAUUCUCUGCUGUUCCCAAGUAAACCCAUUUUUGCUGGUAGAACAACUGUUUCAUUUUGAAGGUCAGCAUGCACCUGUGAUGCGAUUACCACCAUGAAGAUAAGGAACAUACCCACCACCACCCAAAGACCCUCGUCUCUCUUUGCAAUCUCCCCUCCUGCUUCUCACUGGCACCUCCCCCCAAGAUAACCACCAAUCCGCUUUCUGUUGCUAGAUUGCAUUUUCUACAAUUUUAUGUAAGUGGAAUCAUACAAUAUAUUCUAUUUUUUGUCUGUCUUCCUUAAAUUAGUAAAAUUAUUUUGAGAUUU